AGUUAUUUUCGGAUCGCAUGAUUUGAUUAUUAAAGUUCCAACGGUAAAAGAUGAGUAUGCGUCCCAUUAGCUAGAUGGUAAGGUAACGGCUUACCAUGGCAACGAUGGGUAGGGGUCCUGAGAGGGAGAUCCCCCACACUGGUACUGAGACACGGACCAGACUCCUACGGGAGGCAGCAGUGAGGAAUAUUGGACAAUGGGCGCAAGCCUGAUCCAGCCAUGCCGCGUGCAGGAUGACGGUCCUAUGGAUUGUAAACUGCUUUUAUACAGGAAGAAACACUACUUCGUGAAGUAGCUCGACGGUACUGUAAGAAUAAGGAUCGGCUAACUCCGUG
rnacentral:rRNA from 1 species